CGGAGCGUCACCAGGGUCAAAACAUGAACAUCUACGGAGCGUCACCAGGGUCAAAACAUGAACAUCUACGGAGCGUCACCAGGGUGAAAACAUGAACAUCUACGGAGCGUCACCAGGGUCAAAACAUGAACAUCUACGGAGCGUCACCAGGGUGAAAACAUGAACAUCUACGGAGCGUCACCAGGGUCAAAACAUGAACAUCUACAUAGCGUCACCAGGGUCAAAACAUGAACAUCUAUGGAGCGUCACCAGGGUCAAAACAUGAACAUCUACGGAGCGUCACCAGGGUCAAAACAUGAACAUCUACGGAGCGUCACCAGGGUCAAAACAUGAACAUCUACGGAGUGUCACCAGGGUCAAAACAUGAACAUCUACGGAGCGUCCCCAGGGUCAAAGUGAGCCGGCCGUGUUAUCGGCUCAGAUAUGGUGGAAUUUUAAUUAUUGUCCACAUUCUAAUUGUGCCCACAUUUUCAGACAGGUGUAGGUGAUUAAAAGACACAUUGUGAUCUGAUUGGGAUCUGAUCUUCCUGAUCACCUCCGGAGGAAGUCAGACACGCACUGUGUCUUACAAAUGUAGUCGGAUCUGGACGGACAGUGAAACCAUUUAAAUCCUCAUUAUCCAGUCCUCCAAAGUCAUUGACAACAGUGGCUAAUGGCACCAUAUUGUGUGUUAAAAUGAAUAAAUAUUAUUUUGAAACAAUAGCUGUCAAAUAAUUUCCAAUCAUUUGCAUACAGGUAGGGACCAGACAAUGAGACACAUUUUAAUACCAGGUGUCGACAUAUUUCUGAAAAUGUGGGCACAAUCAGAAUGUGGACAGAUAAGCACAAAGGACGCAUGUUAGCGGAAGGUGUAAACAAGGCUAAAGUGACAAUGGGCCAGGCUAUGAGAUGUGCAUGACUUUUCAUUGUUCAUUGUUGCUGUCCGUGUAACAGUUAAAGGGAAUCUAUCCCCAUUGACUACGGUAUGAAGACUGAGUCUGCAUCUCAAUUGGCACCCUAUUCCAUUGACCGUGGUCAAAAGUAGUGCACUACAUAGGGAAUAGAGUCAAAAGUAGUGCACUACAUAGGGAAUAGAGUCAAAAGUAGUGCACUACAUAGGGAAUAGAGUCAAAAGUAGUGCACUACAUAGGGAAUCUAUCCCCAUUGACUACGGUAUGAAGACUGAGUCUGCAUCUCAAUUGGCACCCUAUUCCCUUGUCCGUGGUCAAAAGUAGUGCACUACAUAGGGAAUAGGGUCUAAAGUAGUGCACUACAUAGGGAAUAGGGUCUAAAGUAGUGCACUACAUAGGGAAUAGGGUCUAAUGUAGUGCACUACAUAGGGAACGGGGUCUAAAGUAGUGCACUACAUAGAGAAUAGAGUGCCAUUUGAGAUCCAACCUGACUCUUGACUGAGAGCUGAUAUGAACUACACUGAUUUCUGAAUUAUUUUAGUAGUUUAUUUUUCAAACAAAAUGUAAGUAGCCUACACAAUAAUUAGAUGUGUUUUUAAAUCACUGGACAUCAGCGAGAGGUAUAACAAACCCGCUACACCAUGCAAGUUAAAAAAACAGGUGCUGCAAAGUGGAAGUGCAAUAUCUGGAGCAUAUUUCAAAUAUGGUGUAAUUGCAGACCACAAAUUGGGGUGUUUCUUGAUGUGGGUGUUCCGGGAUAUCAGGAAACGCCCAUUGAUACCUGCCAUUGGUCAGUUUCGGUGUUAUGAGACUGAUGGUGUGUCAACACAGACAAUUUAUAGACAUAAAGGUUACGAUAGCUUGAUAUCAAGAAACGUCAUUGUCUGAAAACCCAGCUAAUUACGUUCUGACAUUUCACCCUUCUCCAUAUUUCAGACUUGUUUCAGACAUAUUUCAGACAUAUUUCAGACAUAUUUCAGACAUAUUUCAGACUUGUUUCAGACAUAUUUCAGAGAUUGUUUCAGACAUAUUUCAGACAUUUUUCAGACAUAUUUCAGACUUGUUUCAGACAUAUUUCAGAGAUUGUUUCAGACAUAUUUCAGAGAUUGUUUCAGACAUAUUUCAGAGAUUGUUUCAGACAUAUUUCAGGGCACAUUUCAGUUGUUUUUCUGAAAUAUUUUUUUGACAUAUUUCAGAUAUGUUUCAGACAUUUUCAAGACAUUUCAUUACAUGGGUUAUUGUUAGAUUAUUACUUUUUUUAAACGUGGGAGCUGGCUCGGCGUCACUCUGCGAGAGUUUGUCACAUGAUUCAUUUUCCAUUGCAGCAGCACAGGCAUUUUGAAAAGUCCCUUUUAAACAGAUGCAUCUGUAGUCUGCUGGAAUCCAGUUUGACACACAGUCUAAUACACUUCCCAAAUGGUCCUGGUCUAAUGUAGUGCACUAUGUAGGGAAUAGGGUUCCAUUUUGUCUAAUGUAGUGCACUAUGUAGGGAAUAGGGUUCCAUUUUGUCUAAUGUAGUGCACUAUGUAGGGAAUAGGGUUCCAUUUGGUCUAAUGUAGUGCACUAUGUAGGGAAUAGGGUUCCAUUUAAAUACGAGUAAAUAAGAGGAAAACAUGAAUUUGUUUAUUUAUAUAUAAAAAAAGAUUACAAGGUAUUCUUGCUAAAAGUCGACACUGUCACUGUGUAGUCUGUGUUAAGUUACGUUUAGUAUUAAUAUAGGAAAAUGUCAUACAAAGAAACAACUCUAGGAAAUGAACAAUAUGAUUAGUUAAACAUUACACAAUAAUAUAUUAACUGAACUGCAUUGAUAAAGGAUAUUGAUUUAUGAUGAUAUAUGAAACUAAUGUACUUAUACACUGAUUACAUGAAUUCCUAAAACUCAGGCCUACUGUACCAGCAACAUGAGAGUUAAUUGUUAAUUGAACUUGUUCUUAACUUGCCUUCAUGGUUAAAUAAAAGUGAAAGAAAUAAAAAUUAUAUAUAUAAAAAAAGAGAAUGAUUUAAAAACCAACUGUGAAUGCUGUCAGCGCUUCAUUCAGGCCUGGGCUUUGUUCUAACGCUCCUGUAUGGGGUCUAUACAGUGGCUUUUCUGAAGGUUAGUGAUUGGUUGAUUGAUUGAUGAAGGAAUAAACUUGUGUAAUGAUUGGUUGGUAGCUUAAUUAGCAGGGGAGAGAGGGAUGCCAGUCAGCAGUGUUUGGAUGCAGCCUUGACCACAGCCUUCACCCACGGGAAUCUAGCCCUGACCACAGCCUUCACCCACGGGAAUCUAGCCCUGACCACAGCCUUCACCCACGGGAAUCUAGCCCUGACCACAGCCUUCACCCACAGGAAUCUAGCCCUGACCACAGCCUUCACCCACGGGAAUCUAGCCCUGACCACAGCCUUCACCCACAGGAAUCUAGCCCUGACCACAGCCUUCACCCACGGGAAUCUAGCCCUGACCACAGCCUUCACCCACGGGAAUCUAGGGAAGAGUCAACAAAAAAGCAAAUUCAUCAGCCUGGUACAUCAAGUGAUUUGACCAUACAGACCAAAACUUUUAACGUGAAUUUAAUCUAUUGUAAUUCAGACUCUGUUGAAGUUCAUUUCUGUCUGCGUUCCAUGGAAAUUCAGGGCUGUCAAAGAGUGCUGUCGCAGCAUCAAAUGACCUUCUUAACAUUGACGUUGUAUGUUGACAUUAAACACCACUGAUGCGUUGGGUUUACUUUGGUUAAAUAUGUAAAGACAGAGAAAAAUAACUACCUUUUCUUUUCUCCUCCUCUUUCUCUUCUUCCUCCUUGUGGAAAUUCUGUCCAUCUUUCUUAGUCCAGCUCAGUUUGAUAUCAGACACGACCUGCUUCUUCA
ensembl:lncRNA